rnacentral:rRNA from 1 species
CAAGGAAGUAAGAUCCCUGAAAGAUGAUCAGGUUGAUAGGUCUGAGGUGGAAGUGUGGCGACACAUGGAGCUGACAGAUACUAAUCGAUCGAGGACUUAACCACAUUU